CUCAAAAGAUUUUUCUGGUAACAAGUGGAAUCUGUAGUUGACCUGUUUAGUUUCACAGAAUAAAACACUGGUGAAUUUCUGUUUUGUCUUUAUAGCAUUCAUCUAAUUUUAUGUAUGUUAUUUUUGUUUCUGUGAAAAGAUMYUUCAUCCACCUUUACUUGUGCCUCUAUCACUUCAAGCGUUUGCAGUACCCUGGCUGAUGCUACCAUUAAGACUUGUGGAUCUUCUCCUCCAAACAGCUGCAUCACCACUGCCCUGAAAGACGAUGUUGCAAAUCAGACCUGUAACAAGUUCACUCCAGGCCUCUGCACUAACCUUACUGAUACUAUCAAAAGGACUUGUAAUUCUUCAAAUUCAAACAUCUGCAGUAACAUUGG